ACGACCCUUAGCGAAGGAUGUCUUGGUUCCGGCAACGAUGAAGAAC
rnacentral:rRNA from 1 species